GUGGUGGCUCAGUGGUAGAGUGCUUGCCUAGCAUGUGUGAGACACUGGGUUUGAUUCUCAACACCACA
rnacentral:tRNA from 1 species